UACAGAGGUCUCAAGCGUUGUUCGGAUUCAUUGGGCGUAAAGGGUGCGUAGGUGGCAGGGUAAGUCGGAUGUGAAAUCCCGGGGCUCAACCUCGGAACUGCAUUCGAUACUGCUUUGCUGGAGUACUGGAGAGGAGAUUGGAAUUUACGGUGUAGCAGUGAAAUGCGUAGAUAUCGUAAGGAAGACCAGUGGCGAAGGCGGAUCUCUGGACAGUUACUGACGCUGAGACGCGAAAGCGUGGGGAGCGAACAGG
rnacentral:rRNA from 1 species